GACGAACGCUGGCGGCGUGCUUAACACAUGCAAGUCGAACGGAAAGGCCUCUUUCGGGGGGUACUCGAGUGGCGAACGGGUGAGUAACACGUGAGUAACCUGCCCUUGACUUUGGGAUAACUUCAGGAAACUGGGGCUAAUACCGGAUAGGAGCUCUUGCUGCAUGGUGGGGGUUGGAAAGUUUCGGCGGUUGGGGAUGGACUCGCGGCUUAUCAGCUUGUUGGUGGGGUAGUGGCUUACCAAGGCUUUGACGGGUAGCCGGCCUGAGAGGGUGACCGGCCACAUUGGGACUGAGAUACGGCCCAGACUCCUACGGGAGGCAGCAGUGGGGAAUAUUGCACAAUGGGCGGAAGCCUGAUGCAGCAACGCCGCGUGCGGGAUGACGGCCUUCGGGUUGUAAACCGCUUUCGCCUGUGACGAAGCGCGAGUGACGGUAAUGGGUAAAGAAGCACCGGCUAACUACGUG
rnacentral:rRNA from 1 species